rnacentral:rRNA from 1 species
GAUUCCCUUAGUAGCGGCGAGCGAAACGGGAAGAGCCCAAACCAACAAGCUUGCUUGUUGGGGUUGUAGGACACUCUAUACGGAGUUACAAAGGACGACAUUAGACGAAUCAUCUGGAAAGAUGAAUCAAAGAAGGUAAUAAUCCUGUAGUCGAAAAUGUUGUCUCUCUUGAGUGGAUCCUGAGUACGACGGAGCACGUGAAAUUCCGUC